rnacentral:lncRNA from 1 species
GUAUUGAUACUGUGACCUGUAACAUUCUGUAGGUUUUUGUGCCUGUUUUAAUCUAUAUUAGUGUAUUGAGUUUGUUCUUACUAGUUUGCAAAUACCUUAUCCCUGAUUCAUCUCAGUCAACUGUAGUUAAAUAAACAAAUUAUAUUGUAAAAUAAUUCAACAGCAUGCACUUCUGUUUCAUAUAUAGUUUUCUUCAGUGGCCCCUGUAUAAUCCAUUUACUUGGAAAUGAAGAAUUGUGAUGUAUAAAUCAGAAAAAUUAAUGCAGAAGAAAAAUCUCCUACUGGAAUAUGUUUACUUCAGAAACUCCAGGUGUGUAAGAAUAGAAACUCCCCUUCUUCACAAGUAGCGGAAUGAAAGAAGUUCACAAAAUUUCUAAAGUCAGUUAUUUUAUGUGGAUGGUCUUCCCGGUUUUUGCACAGAAGGAAGAUGAGACGAAUACGCUGAUG